rnacentral:rRNA from 1 species
CAGCAGCCGCGGUAAUACCGGCGGCCCGAGUGGCGGUCACUAUUAUUGGGCUUAAAGCGUCCGUAGCCGGGUUGGGAAGUCCUCCGGGAAAUCUGGCCGCUUAACGGUCAGAAUGCCGGAGGAUACUCCCAGCCUAGGGAGCGGGCGAGGCCGAGGGUAUUCCCGGAGUAGGGGUGAAAUCCUAUAAUCCCGGGAGGACCACCUGUGGCGAAGGCGCUCGGCUGGAACGCGUCCGACGGUGAGGGACGAAGGCCAGGGGAGCAAACCGGAUUAGAUACCCGGGUAGUCCUGGCUGUAAACGAUGCGGACUUUGUGUCGGACAAGCUAUGAGCUUGUCCGGUGCCGGAGGGAAACCGUUAAGUCCGCCGCCUGGGGAGUACGGCCGCAAGGCUGAAACUUAAAGGAAUUGGCGGG